UACGGAGGGUGCAAGCGUUAUCCGGAUUUACUGGGUUUAAAGGGUGCGUAGGCGGCUCUUUAAGUCAGUGGUGAAAGCCUGGCGCUCAACGCCAGAAAUGCCAUUGAUACUGUGGAGCUUGAGUCAAGAAGAGGUAAGUAGAAUUCAUGGUGUAGCGGUGAAAUGCAUAGAUAUCAUGAGGAAUUCCAACAGCGAAGGCAGCUUACUGGUCUUUGACUGACGCUGAGGCACGAAAGCGUGGGGAGCAAACAGG
rnacentral:rRNA from 1 species